CCACUGCUUGUGCAUCUUAUUGGUGGCCAAGUUAGACUAAAGUUUUUGGACAGACUUUGGAGAAGCAGUGGGACAGGAGGGUGAUUGGAGGAGAGACUGCGACAGCGAGGAGAGAAGGGGAGGGCUCACAAACAGAGCUGUCAGCAGAGAUCUUUCUCUGUAAGAAAGUAUGUGGAGCUGAACUUUUGGUUAUAGAGUCAACCCUCUUGUCCCAUUGGCUGUCCCAUUGGCUGUCCCACUGGCCACCCAACCUGUUGCUGUUCCUGACAUGGAAGACGUCCAUUCCAGUUCCUGUUCCAGGCAUGGUGGACGAUGCCCAGCCAGUUCAUGUUCUCGUGCCUCCGGACUUGUCGGACCCACCGCCAGUUGCCGCUGUGCCUCUGGAAAUGCCGGACCCACUGCCAGCCCCUGCUGUACCUCUGGACCUUGCCUGUCCUGCCCCCAUCUGUCUCCUGCUGCCACCACCUUGUAUUUCCCGCCAUUUCCACCCCGGUCAUCGCUCAUCAUUUGUCGCCUUUUGUUGUCUUCUCGUUCUCCCUCCUGACCCUUUUGUUGUCUUUAGUCUGUUUCUGUCCAGUAUUUUGUUUCUGGUUCUCAUGCUAUUUUUUCUGUUCAUGUUGCUGCUCCCAUUCCUACCUCUGUUUGUGUUGCCUAUGUCUGCUCCUCUUGUGGCCCCGGUGUCUGUGUCCGCAACUUUAGUCUGCUUGUUCCGCUUCUGUCUUGGUUACAUCUUCAGUGUCUUCUGCUCCUGUGUCUUAGCUUCCUUUGUAUGCUUCUGCUCCUUCUGUUCCUGUUUCUGGUCUGUCUAUUCCUGAGUCUCGUCUGGCUCUUGUCCCUGCUCCCAGUCUUGCCCGGUCUGUUUCUGUUUGUGUCUAGUCUUGUUCCUUGGUCCUGUUUUGUUUUGUUUGCACUCUUCAGUACCGUGCACUUUGGGGGAGGUACUGUCAUAGUUUGUGCAUGUGCUUCCCUCCUAGCAUCCUGUUACCUGUUACCUUGCCUCAUCUUGUCUAGUGAAGAUAGACUCUCUCCCACCCCCAGUAUCAGCUGGUAACAAUAGUAACUUUAUUGCUUAUACAUAAAAUUAGAUCAUUAAUUCUUUCCUCUCUUCUGUGUGAGAGCCUUCUCAUGUCCUAUAAUUGGUUCCCCAUUUCACUGUUUGCAAUGGCUAUUUAUCUCUCCUGAUCCUUGUCUUCUACUGUAGGCAUACUUUUAUUAUGAAUUUGUUGAUUUAAUAAGUUUCCUUUGUUGCUGAUCAAUAAGUAGAUUAUCUGGUUGGUUACCUCCAUAGGUUGCUCAAAACAACCUUUUUUAGCUUAGCUAGCUACCUGUAUCCACCACGAAUAGUUUCUGUUAAAUUUAGCUUGUUUGCAUUGUUAGGAUUGUUAUUCUAGUGAUCUAGACACUCCUUGUCAUUAAUAGCAUCUCAGUCAAUGAUUAUUAUGUGUUUUUCCUAUCUCUGCUUAUUCAGUGCCUUGGUUAUUACAUCUGAGCCAAGAGUGAUAUUAUUUUGUAGACGAGAAAUAAUCAAGUAUCGAACUGGCCACUUUGAUGAGUUGAGACUGAAUCAUUAAUAAAUUAAAAUGAAUACAUUUUCCCUGUUCCCAUGAAUGGUGCCCCAAUUAAAUUUACCAACUGUAAGUUAUCAUUCAUUAAAAAUAUUAGAACUGCUACACUUUCCUUUGCUUCCUUAUUUUUAGUUUUUUUGUUCUGUUUUCUGUUUUAUGAUUUAUCCUGGAUCUGUUUGUUUUGGAUCUUUAACCCUGGAGCGUUCUAUUGAUUUGGAUAUGCCCUUAAUAAAUCUCGAUCUUCUCAGCA